rnacentral:rRNA from 1 species
CAGUUCGGACUGUAGUCUGCAACCCGACUACACGAAGCUGGAAUCGCUAGUAAUCGCGAAUCAGAAUGUCGCGGUGAAUACGUUCCCGGGUCUUGUACACACCGCCCGUCACACCAUGGGAGUCGGUAACGCCCGAAGCCUGUGACCCAACCGAAAGGAGGGAGCAGUCGAAGGUGGGAUCGGUGACUGGGGUGAAGUCGUAACAAGGUACC